rnacentral:lncRNA from 1 species
AGGGGGAAGGAUGACACAGGUAUAAUGAGUGAGUCAGAAACGGCGAAAUUUUAGAGAUUUGGAACGAUAAUGGAGAAGUGCAAAAGUUGGAGAACGAUUGCUUUCUUUUUUGGAGGAUAGAUGAACUGUAUCGGAAGAUUAUUAUAAGCCCAAAUAAAUAGGACCGAUAUGAUUAUGUUUGACUGCAGCAUGACGUGGCGGUAUACUACUUUCUGAUUGGUUGAUUUUUUGAUCUGACGUGGACACCCUCUUUGUUGAUCUUAUUCAACUUUUAGUAUUGUAUUGAUAUAUAUAUUUUUUAAGGAAAAAAAUUACAUUAGUCAUAGUUAUUAAUAAACAUAUGAUUUGAGAUUUCAUUAUAUGAACUUUAUA